AUACGUAGGUGGCGAGCGUUGUCCGGAAUUACUGGGUGUAAAGGGCGUGUAGGCGGGUUAGCAAGUCAGAUGUGAAAUCCUGGGGCUCAACUCCAGAGCUGCAUCUGAAACUGUUAAUCUUGAGUACUGGAGAGGAAAGCGGAAUUCCUAGUGUAGCGGUGAAAUGCGUAGAUAUUAGGAGGAACACCAGUGGCGAAGGCGGCUUUCUGGACAGUAACUGACGCUGAGGCGCGAAAGCGUGGGGAGCAAACAGGAUUAGAUACCCUGGUAGUCCACGCCGUAAACGAUGGAUACUAGGUGUAGGAGGUAUCGACCCCUUCUGUGCCGGAGUUAACACAAUAAGUAUCCCACCUGGGGAGUACGGCCGCAAGGUUGAA
rnacentral:rRNA from 1 species